rnacentral:rRNA from 1 species
GGCCUUGACAUACUAAGAACUUUCCAGAGAUGGAUUGGUGCCUUCGGGAACUUAGAUACAGGUGCUGCAUGGCUGUCGUCAGCUCGUGUCGUGAGAUGUUGGGUUAAGUCCGCAACGAGCGCAACCCUUUUCCUUAUUUGCCAGCGGGUUAAGCCGGGAACUUUAAGGAUACUGCCAGUGACAAACUGGAGGAAGGCGGGGACGACGUCAAGUCAUCAUGGCCCUUACGGCCAGGGCUACACACGUGCUACAAUGGUCGGUACAAAGGGUUGCUACCUCGCGAGAGGAUGCUAAUCUCAAAAAGCCGAUCGUAGUCCGGAUCGCAGUCUGCAACUCGACUGCGUGAAGUCGGAAUAGCUAGUAAUCGCGGAUCAGAAUGCCGCGGUGAAUACGUUCCCGGGCCUUGUACACACCGCCCGUCACACCAUGGGAGUUUGUUGCACCAGAAGUAGGUAGUCUAACCGCAAGGAGGACGCUUACCACGGUGUGGCUGAUGACUGGGGUGAAGUCGUAACAAGGUAAGCGUAGAUGA